rnacentral:rRNA from 1 species
UACGUAGGGUGCAAGCGUUGUCCGGAAUUAUUGGGCGUAAAGAGCUCGUAGGCGGUUCGGUAAGUUGGGUGUGGAAACCUCCAUGGCUCAACCUGGAGACGCCACCCGAUACUGCUGUGACGUAGAGUCCGGAUGAGGGGAGCGUGGAAUUCCGGUGUAGCGGUGAAAUGACGCAGAUAUCAGGAGGAACACCGGUGGCGAAGGCGGGUCUCUGGGCCGAUAAUUGACGCUGGAGGAAGCGAAAGCCGUG